AAGCGAUGAGAUGGCAGUCCCGAGAGGAGGCACAGCGGAUGAGAUGGCGGCGGAGGUCAUCGACGGUGACCUGGUUGGCGCGGAAGGGUCGAACGUCGGCGCCGGAGCAGUGCGCGAGGCAGGCGACCUUGCCGAAGGUGAUGCCCUCCGCCUUGAUCUUGUCGAGGGGCUCGCAGCAGUCGAGCAUGGACUCGUCGAACCACCGCCAGGGGCCCUUCCAGCGGCGGCCGGGGUCGAUGGCGAGCGCGUUGAGGACGACGGCGAGGGAGGCGAGGCCGCAGAAGGCCGGCUCGGACUGCGUCUGGAAGCAGGAGGCGAGGCUGAAGAAGCCCUCCAUGGUGCCGCCCUCGAGGGCCUCCGAGAAGAGGCGCUUGCCGUCCGGCGAGGUGAAGUCCACCGCCGGCGGCGACGGGAGGACCCGCCGGUACAGCGACGCCACCGUCGCCAUCCUCCUGCCCUGGGUGCUCGCUCGCCCCUGAUCUCGCUGUCGAUGCUAUGCUCUGAUUCGUCACUGCAGCCACACAGCAGCAAAUGAAAAUUCAAAUUGCACAGGCAUCUCCUCUCCUUUCGACCCCAUCCGCUUUUCCUCUCUCGUUUUCGGAUUACAUGAUUCUCUUCUCACUUGUUUUUCCUUUUCUUUUUGACUUGCGAAAGCAAGACUUGCAUUGCAUAAUUGCAUUACCUAGUUUACGACUACCUGCGAAGGCCACAAUAAGACUUCCAGGGAAUACAAAACAGCUACCAAUACAGCGCCACAUGUGACGCCUCGGCGGCAACGCCACCGGGCACCCCGUGUUUGACGGGUGGUUUGGUUCCCGGCCACAUUUUGCUACACCUAACCUUUGUCAAGUUUGAUCACAACUAACUUUUAGCAAGAUUUUUUAGACUCCACAUGUCAUUGAGACAAAUUUCUUUACCACAUUUUUUAGACUCCACAUGUCUAUGGAUAUGACUUUGACUUUUAGUAACCUUACUGAUUCUCAAUUAUUAGCUGGAAGAGAAUCAGUAAGGUUAUAAAACGGUGGUAAAUCUUCGGCACAAUAUUUUGACAUGCACAUGCUUUGACAGGUUUCAUCUCUGGCUCUCUGCAGGACCUGAAAGUAAUUGAGUAAAAUGAAACUACAUCAAUUGCGUUCAACAGAGCAAGCAUCAGAACUUCACCAUUGUGUGAAGCCAUGGAGGAGCUGCAUUGUGCCUUGAUAUAAGCAUGAACCUAACAGAUAAUAAAGAUGUCAUAUGCCAAUGUUUUAAAAUGCAAGGUCACUGGUCACUGCAAUUUUCUGAUGCAAGGGUAUCUGAGAACAUCGCAGCUGGUUGACAGCACACAUCAGUUGAAAUUCUUCUAAGAGAAUCUUCUUCACUUGACGAUGAGCAAUUACAAGGGCUAGUAGCAUACUGCAGAUUGCAGACUUGCGGUGAUACAUUUUCCUGCAAGGGAACAAAAGCUUGAGCCAGCAUCAGAAAAUGAAAUGGAUGAGUGACCUUCAAAAGAAGCCUUUCUUUCUCCCCUUUGCUCAAAGCUUCGCCGACCUUUCUUUUUUCUCCUAACUUCAACAACCCAUUUGAUCAAAGCUCCAGCAUCAGCUGGACGGGACAAAAGAGUUGGAACAUUGUCUGGAUUUUCCGCCUUCAAAAGAUUUGGAAUAUUAUCACAUGCUUUUGCCUGGAUUCUCCAUCUUCAAAACGUUUGGAAUAUUGUCACAUGCUUUUCCAAGUUUCACGUCUGCAACUCUGCAGAGAAUCGAAAAUAAUGAGAGAAAAAAAACAAUAUCAAAUUUGUUCAUUUAUAUUCAACAUGCCAAGCAUUGGCGUGUUUACCACUGCUUAAAGCAAUGGAGGAGCUGCAGUGUACCUUGGUAUAAGCAUGAAGAUAUCAAUAUUAAAGAUGUGAACAUCUUAAAACAACAUGAUGGCAAGGGUAGUAAAUUGAUCAUAUAGAAGAAUACUGAAACACCACUGGAAGUUCUCUGAAAGCAUAGGAAAUAGUACAUAUGUAAUGCAAUAGUAAGGUAUACUGUAAGCAGAUUACUAUUUUCAUACUUGCUACAUUUAAAGUGUAUUGUAUGUGUAGUACUGUUUUGUAGUUGCUGUAGUUUGAAAACUAUGACUAUCCUAAUAUUUUAUUUAAAACUAGCACAUCACCACCAAAUAGAGCAUAUUUUUCAUAUUAACAGUCUUAAAGAGAACAUCCACCGGCCCUUUGGCAAUGAACAUUUUAAAACCAAUAAACUGGGGAUGCAAAAAAGAAAAAAAACAAAGAUUUGAAACCGAAUAAAUCAAUACCAUUUCUCAUGCAAUAGACUAUAUUUUUUCAUGCUAAAAGAUACACCAUUUGGAGACUUACAAGGAAUGGGUUGUCUGAAUGGACGCCAAAUCAACAAAGACCAGAGAGGAUCUAGUCAACAGGUUGUUCCCGUUGAUGCUAAAUCUGAUCCUAUAUGGCCACUCUGAUGAUACACAGGGAGAGAAGCUGGUGCUGAUGGCUACUGAUGCUGAUCCGACAAUGACAUAGGCAUGCUCCGAGCUGCAUGACCAUUGCUGUUUUUGCUUGUUGUUGUUUUCUCAGUCUGUUAAGCCACGGUUCUAGUUAGACUGGUGUGUUUGGGUGUUUCAUAGGAUGACAAAGGUCUUGCGUGAGUGGUGAGAUGGCAAACUCAGUGCUUGGAACAUGUGAAAGGUACUGCUGCAAAACCAUUUUGGUCAUGUUGGAACUCUAAAAAAAAUACAUGUUGCUUUAAAGCACAUCCUGAUAGUCCAUGAAUAAUAGCCUAUAUCCCAACUACAGCUGCUUAAUCCAAGCUUCAAGAGCUACCAUCCCAGGUAAUAAGAUACAGAUCCUACCCGAAUACACGUUGGUUCAUAAGGAAAUAAAAAUGAUCAACGUUCAAGAAUGCAAGAAAGAUGGACGUGAGAGGAGACCCCCUUGUGAAACCCAAUUGAUUCAUUAGUUAAUGAAUCUGAGAGAAGCUCCCCUGUGAAGCCCAGUUCAUUCAUUAGUCAUGUUCAUGGGUUCCAAAAUAAGUGGCAGUGGAACCCAAUGAGGAGGAUAUUUGAAGUGCACAACAUCCCAGUCGAGCACCGUAUAUCCUCUCAGGCAUGGUAGACGCCGACUCAAGAACAAUAGCCUCACAUAGAGCAAUGAGUACAAUAGAACAGAUCAAUAGAUAUUUGUGUCAUCAUUAAUAUCAAAAUUUUGUUUUUGCAAUUAUCAAAACCACUCUUAACUUUUUUAUUGACAUCAAUUUCCAGUACAUAAAUAAUUAAGUCUGCCCAUUGUCACUUAGAGCAAGGGAGUAACACUGGAUCUCAUCAAUAAGAUAUGUCGUCACUACUAUCAUAAUUCUUCUCAUUAUAGUCAAGAAUCACUCUCUCGCAACUUUUCUCCUGACAUCAAUUUCCAGCAAGUAAAUUAAUGAUGUGGGCACUUCCUGCUUUAGCCUAGCCACUUAGGUGAUGGCAGAUCAUCAUCUUCGUAUUCCUCCUUUUCUUUACAAGUCUUCAGAUAAUAAAGUUGCCGCCUUAGAUGCAUUAUCUGUCAGCACAAAUAAAGAUUCACUUGUUACUCUACCCGCUAUAACAAAAGCUUUAAGCAUUCAUAUUUAUCAAAGGGCAAUAAAACACAAUAUACAUAUAUUAUUUGAAACAAUCUAUGGAAUGAUGGAAGGAGCAAAAUAAAUGGAGAACUAUUAUUUAAAAUAACAUUCAACUUGUGGUGAGAUAAUGCUUCUUAAAAAUUUUAAUGUAUACAAGUCAUAGGAUUGGUAUUAUUGCAAACUUGGGUUUCUUGUGUAAUAUGGUGUGAAGAGAAUUUCAAGAUCCAGAUUUAGAACAGACAUGUAUCACAAUUCAACAAGUCACAGAACUACAACAUCACAGUCUGCCAAACCUAAGAAGUUAAGUUAAUGAAUGUAAGCAUGCAUGUUUGUUGCCUUUGUGUCUGUCACAUUUUCUUGUGGUGGCAGUGAUGGGCUUGGGAUAGUUUCAAGUUUUACAAUUCAGAGUGUAUGUGAUAAUAUACACUUUGCACAAAGUUUGGCAGAAUAUAUAUCUCGCCCCGCACCAACAUGAGAUCUCUUCGAAUCAAGCCAUGCUCUGCCUUGCACCUUCUGCCAGAGCACCAUCGACAAAUCAACCCCCAACCCUCCCCACCCUGCCCCUACUAGCCAGAGUGAGGAGGGUGAAUCAAAAAUGCCCGUCCCAUCUAGACCUCUAAAGCCUGACAUGACUUCCACAAAAGAAAAUAGUUGUGCACCUUCUUUUUCAGGAAAAUAUUAUGCUAUGGAAUGAAGGUAUACAAAUAAGCAUGCUUUGAUUUCGACAACAGACCUCUCGUUUAAGAUCAUCAGGUAGAUUAUCUGUCGAAACAAGAGUCUGAAGUUCAGCUUUAAGCUUCUCAUCUUUGAUACCCAACCAUGUGCUGGGAUGUAAAGCCAGCAGAAGAACGGUCAGAACAUCUGCACUUGAUGGAUAUUUGACAACAUUGUUCUUCAAGUUUGAAUUGCACGAACUGGCACCAGGUGAAGACAUUGGUAAAAGCAUAUCAACACCGUGUUCAUUGCCUUCAGAAACCACAGAGGCUGAGAUAACAGUCUUAAGCCCAUCACCAUUCGCUUGGAUACAUUUUAAACAUGUUUCUUUGCAGCAGAAACCAUGUCUUGAUGCAAGGUUUCCUGAUAGCAUUGCAGCUCCCUGACAGCAUACAGCAGCUGCAAUCCUAGUAAGGGAAUCUUCUUCGCUUGACGAUGAGCAAUUACAACAUGGGUUAUUAGCAUAUUGUAGAUCGUGGACUAUGGCAAAUAGCCUGGUAUCACGAACUUGCUGUAGAACAUUUUCCUGCAAGUGAAUACAAUGUGUGUUACAGAACGGAGCAAAACACCAACCCAGCAUCAGAAAAUGAAAUGAAAAAUCAGGAAAUGCCACCUUCAAGAAAAGCCUUUCUUUCUCCUCUUUGCUUAAGCUUGGGUCCCCUUCCUCUUUCCUUCUAACUUCAACAACCCAUUUGAUCAAAGCUUCAGCUUCAGCUGGAAGAGAUUCAAUUAAACGGGACAAAAGUGUUUGAACAUUGUCUAGAUUAUCUCCCUUCAAAAGAUUUGGUAAAUCUUCAACACAAUACUUUGCCAUGCUUUUCCAGUUCUCAUCUCUGCAGCUCUGCAGAAAACUGAAACUACUGAGGAAGGAAAAAUACAUCAAAUGCCUCGUAUAAAUUCAACUGACCGAGCAUCGGUAUUUUACCACUGUGUACAAUGACGAAGGGGCUGCAGUCUUUCUUGAUAUAAGCAUGAACCUAUCAAAUAUAAAGAUGCCAACACCUUAAAAUGGCAUGAUUAAAGUCAAGACAGAGUGACAGACUACUGAAUAAUCUUAUCAUACUGAAGAAAACUAAAGCAUCACUAAAUUUUUCUGAAUGUGUAGGAAAUUGCAUAUAAACAAUAUGACAUUAAGGUAUAUUGUAUGUACUAUGUAUAAUGCACAACGCUAUUUUUUAACUUGCCACUCCGUACAAAGGUACGGCUAUCUUAAUAUUAGCAUGCCCCCAGAGAAAAUGAUCAAGAGUGAGUGAGAGGAAGGUAGGCAAAAGUAGAGACCCCCUGAGAAGUCCAGUUGAGUCAUCAGUCAUAUUCAUGGCAUCCCAAAGAAGUCUCAGUGGAACCCAAUGUGGAGGGUAUUUGAAGCGAGCGACAUCCAAGAUGAGCGCCAUAUCCUGUCCGGCAUGGUAGCCACCGAUUGGGGAGAAAUGCCCAGUUCCAGUCUGCUUCAUUGCACAAUGUCAUAUACACAGAUAACAGAUGUAUGCAAUGGAGGUUGACGAACUCAACAAUCCAAUCUAAUGCGUAAAUGAAUUGUAAGAGAUUAAUGGGGGUUAGAACUGUAGUGUGUGUCUGAGGGGAAAGAUGAGACUGAUCAUAGGAUGCCGACUAGGGGAAUUGCCCAGGGGAAUGGGGAAUUUGGCGUGACCUGUUUGAAAGCCUGCCUAUGAUAGGAGGCGAUAAGAUGGCAGUCCUGGGAGGAGACGCAUCGGACGAGAUGCCGUCGUAGGUCGUCGAUGGUGGCCAGGUUGGCGCGGAAGGAUUGAACGUUGGCGCCGGAGCAGCGUGCGAGGCAGGCGACCUUGCCGAAGGUGAUGCCCUCGGCCUUGACCUUGUCGAGGGGCUCGCAGCAGUCGAGCAUGGACUCGUCGAACCACCGCCACGGCCCCUUCCACCGGCGGCCCGGGUCGAUGGAGAGCGCGUUGAGGACGACGGCGAGGGAGGCGAGGCCGCAGAAGG
rnacentral:lncRNA from 1 species